rnacentral:rRNA from 1 species
CUUAAAUUGAAGAGUUUGAUCAUGGCUCAGAUUGAACGCUGGCGGCAGGCCUAACACAUGCAAGUCGAGCGGUA